UUUUUUUUUUUUUUUCCCUCUUCUGGUGUACAUGUGAGGUGGGAUUCUAGUAUCUUUAGGAACCAUUUCGAAAUUCAAUAGGCUAGCCUUGAUUAUUCAUAGCAACAAGUCCCCUUUUCUGGUUCUUGAUAUUUUCCAUCCUCUUGCCUGGUGUUUAAAAUUUUCCUUUGUUAUUCUGUAUGUUAAGCAUGAUAUGCCCGUCCAAAUGGGAAAAUUCUUCCAAUUUUAGCAUGAAAACAACAGCCUUUU
rnacentral:misc_RNA from 1 species